GACGAACGCUGGCGGCGUGCUUAACACAUGCAAGUCGAACGGAAAGGCCCCCAUCUUGGUGGGGGUGCUCGAGUGGCGAACGGGUGAGUAACACGUGGGUGAUCUGCCCUGUACUUCGGGAUAAGCUUGGGAAACUGGGUCUAAUACCGGAUAGGACCAUGGUUUAGUGUCUCAUGGUGGAAAGAUUAUUGUUUUGGUGCAGGAUGAGCUCGCGGCCUAUCAGCUUGUUGGUGGGGUAAUGGCCUACCAAGGCGUCGACGGGUAGCCGGCCUGAGAGGGUGGACGGCCACAUUGGGACUGAGAUACGGCCCCGACUCCUACGGGAGGCAGCAGUGGGGAAUAUUGCACAAUGGGCGCAAGCCUGAUGCAGCGACGCCGCGUGGGGGAUGACGGCCUUCGGGUUGUAAACUCCUUUCGUUAGGGACGAAGCCGCACUUUUUUUGGGUGUGGUGACGGUACCUUUGUUAAGAAGCACCGGCUAACUACGUG
rnacentral:rRNA from 1 species